rnacentral:rRNA from 1 species
GAUGAACGCUGGCGGCGUGCCUAAUACAUGCAAGUCGAGCGAACAGAUGAGGAGCUUGCUCCUCUGACGUUAGCGGCGGACGGGUGAGUAACACGUGGAUAACCUACCUAUAAGACUGGGAUAACUUCGGGAAACCGGAGCUAAUACCGGAUAAUAUAUUGAACCGCAUGGUUCAAUAGUGAAAGACGGUUUUGCUGUCACUUAUAGAUGGAUCCGCGCCGCAUUAGCUAGUUGGUAAGGUAACGGCUUACCAAGGCAACGAUGCGUAGCCGACCUGAGAGGGUGAUCGGCCACACUGGAACUGAGACACGGUCCAGACGCCUACGGGAGGCAGCAGUAGGGAAUCUUCCGCAAUGGGCGAAAGCCUUACGGAGCAACGCCGCGUGAGUGAUGAAGGUCUUCGGAUCGUAAAACUCUGUUAUUAGGGAAGAACAAAUGUGUAAGUAACUAUGCACGUCUUGACGGUACCUAAUCAGAAAGCCACGGCUAACUACGUG